AGGAAACAGAUCCUCUUCAGUUUGGGUGCACAGAAACACUUCAUUUGGUUUUGUAACUUCACUUCAAACCUUUCUCUUUGAAACCCUAAUUCCCAAAUCUUCUUCAUGGACUUCUCGAAGAAGCGCAAGACCGAAGAGAACGGCGAUACUGAUUCUCUGUCGUCACCACCCUCCCAAGCAUUCCCCACCGCCACCGUCCCCACAACCGCUCCCCUGGCAGCGGAAGACAUCCGCAAGAUCUUGCGUCCGUUUUCCCAGGAACAGCUCCUCGACCUCCUCCAAUCAGCGUCGCUACGUCACUCCGAUGUCCUCGACGCCGUGCGCACCGUCGCGGACCGCGACUCUACUCUCCGUAAGCUUUUCGUUCGCGGACUUGCCGGCGAAACCACCAGCGAGACCCUGCGCAGCGUGUUCUCCACGUUCGGCGAACUCGACGAGGCCAUCGUGAUCUUCGACAAGGCCACGGGACGCUCCAAGGGCUAUGGCUUCGUGGUCUUUCGCCACGUGGAUGGCGCCAUCCUCGCGCUGAAGGACCCAAGCAAGAAGAUCGAUGGUCGCAUGACGGUAACGCAACUCGCCGCAGCUGGUGGACCUGGGGGCUCCGGCGACGUAUCAGCGAGGAAGGUUUUCGUCGGGAACGUGCCGUUCGAGAUUUCCUCGGAUAAACUACUGAGCGAAUUCCUCAAGUUCGGAGAGGUCGAGGAAGGGCCUCUAGGGUUUGACAAAUCGAGCGGCAAAUCGAGGGGCUUCGCUUUUUUCGUUUAUAAGACGGAGGAAGGUGCGAGGGCUUCGUUGGUGGAACCUGUUAAGACCAUUGAUGGGCACCAAGUGAUUUGCAAAUUGGCUGUGGAUAGCAAAAAGACGAAACCCUUUGGAGGGGAUCAACAUCAGCAUCAACACACGCAGCAUCAGCAGCAACAACAGCAACAUCCGCAGCAACAGAUGCAACAACAAGGUCCUAUGAUGAUACCUCAGUAUGGUGGAUAUGGUGGGAAUGGCUAUGGAAUACAGCACUCGGUGCCACAGUAUAACAAUCCGGUUCAGGUUUCUGGUGGUGGUGGGUAUGGCCACGGAAUUGGUGGUGGAUAUGGUAAUUCGCAGAUGGGUGGACCGGUUUCCGGUGACUACGGAACUAGACUGCCUCCCAAUUCUGGUGGGGGGUUCGCUGAAGGCUCCCAGUAUGGCUACCCUGCUUCUUCCACGCUUCCACCACAGCAGCAAGUGCCUAUGCCGAGACCUCCUCCCGGAGGAAUGUACCAAGGCGUGCCACCCUAUUAUUGAGGUAAUGUUUUUCGUUAUGAAAGCAUAGUAGACUGCUGAUUAGUCCAUACUUCUGUUCAUUGGAUAUAUAAUUUAUAACUGGAUCUGUGUUUUAGCUGAACUUGCAUUAGAUUGUUGAGAAAUGCAAGCACUACACCUUUGAAUGCAGUCUUUAAUAUUGACUUGGAAAUUAUAAAGAAAAAUUUGGUCCUGGAACUUUUUAUUAUUGAGUUUCAUGCUUAAUUCUCUACUUUUCAACAGAAUGUAAAUGAUAAUAGAGUGGGCUACUAGAACUCCUCUAGGUUUUUCUUAAAAGAAAUGGAGUUAUGGUUUUAAAAUGCAAAUGCAGGUUUUUACUUGUAUGUCUGAAUGACUCAUUUAUCUUGCAAUGUGUUUCGCAAAAUUGAUUGCUGGUAUGAAUUGGGUUUAAUUUCUUUUGUACACAUCAUACUUUUCUUUAUGGUCUGUGCAUGUUGAAGUUUAUUUAAUUGUUGAUUGUAAUUAUCAUUCGAGUGAUGGUUAUCUCUUUUGGGCUUUGACAGUUCGUUUUGUUAUUAAAUGUUAAUGAUUGGUUUGAGUUUUGGAUAGGUGUUUCAUUCAGGUUUGUGAUGGCUUCUUGGACGCUAAUGCUUUAAAUGGUUGUGCUGCUUUCGUGCAUGCAGACAAUGAAAUCUUUGGUUUUGGUUACAUGGACCUGUAAUUUGUUGCUGCUUCACUACCUCUGCAUCUAUGUGUUAUGGUUCCAUUUAUGAUGGGUGUUAGUUGAAGCUUACAUGACUUGGCGUAGUACUUGAAUGUAGUACUUAUGUGGAAAUUUUGUAGAAUUUUUUAUUUAUAGUUUUUGCCUAGAUUAUUUCCUAAUUUAUUGACUAAAUGCUAAGGUGGUUACAUUAAAUUUUGAAAUUGUUCUUUAUUGUGGUCUAUAUUCCUUGCAUAUAUUACUCUGGUUGUCAUGGUGACUUUAUGUAUUCUUUUAAUUUCCGAUAACUGCAAGUAUUUAUUUGCGUUGUAUGGUGGCAUUCGUGAUACUUUUGGAUAAUGUUUGAAAUAUCCUUCCGUCAUGGUUUUGUACUAAAUUCAGCAUCAAAUUUAAUGAGUAAAUUAGUUGCCUCAAGUCUUUUAGAGGCUUAUUUGAAUUGUCUUGUUGAGAUGCACAGUUGGUUUGCCCUGAAAUGGAUGGUUGUGAACACCUUUAAAAAUUGCACGAUGACAUAUUUGAGUAUAUUUUGAAAUAUCCUUUCUCUUGUUUAUUUUACUAAAUUCAGCUUCAAUUAAUGACCAAAACAUUUUUCUCAAGCCUUCAUCCACACUGUGUUAAAGAUGAGAUCUGCUAUCGAUUUUACCUAAACUUGUAAAUUGAAAAAUCCCAACUGUGAGAUUGACCACCAUGUUUGUUGUGAAAUCAGAGCUUAAACUUGAUGUGGCAAUUGCAAUGCCGUGCUUUUUCAUGUAUAAAAGGUAAAAGCCUUCUAAUGUUAAAUUUAUAAUGAUUACUUUUAAGCUCCAUUCCACCCACCUAACCUGCUCUGAAAUAAAUAUUAAAGGUAGAAAAGCGAAAGAAUUUAACAAGAUUUUUUUCUUGAGUAAACCACUAAUUUGAUUCUUGAAAUAUUACACUCUCUCGUGAGUGGUUUUUAAAGUAACACAGACUACUAAAGUAAUCCUAGAAGUAUUUUAAAUCAAAGUAAACCCUUUAAGAAGUAUACUUUAGGGAUGGCUUGAAGUUUUAUUACUUUCGGAAUUAUUUGAGAGAGUUUGAGAAUUAAUUGGUGAUUUACUUGUAUUUUAUUUGUUUGUAUCUAUUACGUCAGGUAUGCAGCUUUAUAAUGUUGGCUUAGGUCUUAACUGAACCUCACAAUCAAUUUGUAAGGCAAAUAUUGUCCUGGCUUUGAACUCAAUUUUAGUCUUAUCUUUAUCUAAUUUGAGCCUAAAAUUAUCACCCUUGGGACUACAAAUUCGGCAAUCCUUAAAGAGGUUGCAACUAAAGAGAACUAAGGGUUACUGCAGCUAAGGUAGCUUUCUGGCACAUCCCCUCUCAUCCAAGGCGAUUAGCUUGGAGUGUGGCAAUCAUUUGGCCCAACUAUGGAUAUAGGAUAGACUUCUAUACCUUCUUAAGGUUUUAGGUUAGAGCCUAAUCAACCCUCGUAAAACUUUUUUAUAAGGUGGGAAUUGUCGUAGCCCUAUGUAAGCCCUAUCUCUGGUGGAUUUGAUACUAAACACCAUCCUUGAUUAGGUAUAUUUCAUUUUUUUAUAUUGUGUUAAAAGUGAAGUAUGAAAUCUUAGAAUUUGGACUUAGGACCUAAUUUGAUCUCACAACCUCAUUUAACUACCUUGAAAGGUGAGAAUUGUCCAAACUCUAUUCAAGCUGUAUCUCUUCUUGAUUUGACACUAAACACCACCUUUGAGGCUGCUGUCAUGGAGAAGUUUCAACUAAGAUGGGCUCUUGGUAACUGCAGUUUAGAUAGAUGGCUUUAUAGUAGAAGAUGAAGAGCAUUACAGUGUAAUUGUGUUGGUUGUUUGCCUGAUUUCUCAUUUUGCUGCUGUUGAAUAGUGAAGCUUCAAUUAGGAUCUUGUUACUGCUCUUUCUUAAAUCAGUUUACAUGUUACUGCUAUUUUAUUACUUACUUUCUUUGCUAAAUCAGGCUACUUGUUAAUGCAAUUUUGUUACGUAAAAUGUUUUGUCUCGUCUUGCAAGUGUUUCUCAUGGGAAUAAUAAUUAACUUGCUUUGCUAUAGUUUGGUGUUUAUUUUAUUCAUUUUGAUCUGUCAUGAUCAUGCUUUUGAGCCAAAUAAAUUAUUGUAUGUUUCUUUGGGAAUGUUUCUACGAUGUUUUCUAAUUUUGAUUGCUUGUGUAUCAAAACUUGUGUAUGUCCAUAUGUGCUGCUCUUUCUAAUGAUUUUCGAGGUGAUCCUCCUGGUCGUUUUCGAUUUGAAGUAGUUCGGCCAACACCGCCUUGCUGUUAUCCUUCUGAGGGAAACAUUCGUCUUAGCAUAAGUGUAUGGGACAUGGUUUAAUUUAAUAUAAGUGCUUUUGAUUUA